GUAAGGAGCACUCACACAAACAGUUCCUCUGUCAGCUGGGGCAGUGAAACUGCAUGGGUGAUGUAGGGAUGGCGACCUUUAUUGGGUGACAGAAGCACUCUGCACAGUGACAAUGCAGGCAGCGUCCCAACAGUCCCUUCAUCCAGCAGCUGAGUCAGAGCAGCCUGAUACAUGGCAGGCAGGAAAUAAGCCGUGACGGAGACAGAUGGAGCAGCCAGCUCAUCUCUGCAAGCUUGGAGACGGGGCAUGGCUGGCCUUGAACAGCAUAUCCAGGUGUUCACAGAGUUUUGAUGGAAGUGUGGAAGAGGGAGCUCCUCUUCAGUGUCUUCACUGAAUCUCAUCAAAGGAUUCAUGCCUUCAACAGAACCUACCAUUCUCAAGGUGUGUGGGGAUUGCAACACUGUGCUUGCAUGCACUGUAGUGUUGUAGCCAAGGGCAGUGGCUGACAGCAGAACCAGAUGGGAGAGAGCAGAAGAGGCAUUUCUCCCUGUGAAAUGAGUGAAAAGGCCAUAGCUCUUCAAUUAAAUGUAACUUCCCUACGGCAUGAUGAUCAGUGCUGCACUGCCUACAGCACCAACUGAAAUAAGGAAUGAGCUUCCCUUUGCAAGCGGCAAGAAAAUUAAGAAAUGGCUGUUCCCUAUAUCCUGCCCUAUUGGAGUGGUGGUGAAGUGUUAAUGGGUCACAGAGCACAAGGAUGGCUGUGUUGUAGCUCAGAAAGGGAAAGGGGAAACGUGACAAAGUAGUAAAGGCAUCAUCUCUGAAAAUAAUAAAUCAUAGCUAUCGGUGUAUAAAUAAUAAAAGUAAUCAGCACUAUCUGCAAAGCGUCC
ensembl:lncRNA